rnacentral:rRNA from 1 species
UACGUAGGGUGCGAGCGUUAAUCGGAAUUACUGGGCGUAAAGCGUGCGCAGGCGGUUUUGUAAGCCAGAUGUGAAAUCCCCGGGCUUAACCUGGGAACUGCAUUCGAGACUGCAUUGCUAGAGUAUGGGAGAGGGAAGUGGAAUUUCCGGUGUAGCGGUGAAAUGCGUAGAUAUCGGAAGGAACAUCAGUGGCGAAAGCGACUUCCUGGACCAAUACUGACGCUCAUGUGCGAAAGCGUGGGGAGCAAACAGG